rnacentral:rRNA from 1 species
UUGAACGCUGGCGGCAGGCCUAACACAUGCAAGUCGAGCGGAUGAAGGGAGCUUGCUCCUGGAUUCAGCGGCGGACGGGUGAGUAAUGCCUAGGAAUCUGCCUGGUAGUGGGGGAUAACGUCCGGAAACGGGCGCUAAUACCGCAUACGUCCUGAGGGAGAAAGUGGGGGAUCUUCGGACCUCACGCUAUCAGAUGAGCCUAGGUCGGAUUAGCUAGUUGGUGGGGUAAAGGCCUAUCAAGGCGACGAUCCGUAACUGGUCUGAGAGGAUGAUCAGUCACACUGGAACUGAGACACGGUCCAGACUCCUACGGGAGGCAGCAGUGGGGAAUAUUGGACAAUGGGCGAAAGCCUGAUCCAGCCAUGCCGCGUGUGUGAAGAAGGUCUUCGGAUUGUAAAGCACUUUAAGUUGGGAGGAAGGGCAGUAAGUUAAUACCUUGCUGUUUUGACGUUACCAACAGAAUAAGCACCGGCUAACUUCGUG